GAUGAACGCUGGCGGCGUGCUUAACACAUGCAAGUCGAACGGGAAUUACUUUAUUGAAACUUCGGUCGAUAUGAUUUAAUUCUAGUGGCGGACGGGUGAGUAACGCGCGGGUAACCUGCCUUAUACAGGGGGAUAACAGUCAGAAAUGACUGCUAAUACCGCAUAAGCGCACAGGACCGCAUGGUCCGGUGUGAAAAACUCCGGUGGUAUAAGAUGGACCCGCGUUGGAUUAGCUAGUUGGUGAGGUAACGGCCCACCAAGGCGACGAUCCAUAGCCGGCCUGAGAGGGUGAACGGCCACAUUGGGACUGAGACACGGCCCAGACUCCUACGGGAGGCAGCAGUGGGGAAUAUUGCACAAUGGGGGAAACCCUGAUGCAGCGACGCCGCGUGAAGGAAGAAGUAUCUCGGUAUGUAAACUUCUAUCAGCAGGGAAGAAAAUGACGGUAC
rnacentral:rRNA from 1 species